rnacentral:rRNA from 1 species
UACGUAGGGUGCAAGCGUUGUCCGGAAUUAUUGGGCGUAAAGAGCUCGUAGGCGGUCUGUCACGUCGGAUGUGAAAAUCCAGGGCUUAACCCUGGACCUGCAUUCGAUACGGGCAGACUAGAGUUCGGUAGGGGAGACUGGAAUUCCUGGUGUAGCGGUGAAAUGCGCAGAUAUCAGGAGGAACACCGGUGGCGAAGGCGACUACCUGGCCUGUUCUUGACGCUGAGGCGCGAAAGCUAGGGGAGCAAACGGG